UGGGGGGAUAUUGCGGCAAUGGGGGCAACCCUGACGCAGCAACGCCGCGUGAAGGAAGAAGGUUUUCGGAUCGUAAACUUCUUUAAGUGUGGAAGAAGAUGACGGUACACACAGAAUAAGCCACGGCUAACUACGUGCCAGCAGCCGCGGUAAUACGUAGGUGGCGAGCGUUGUCCGGAUUUACUGGGUGUAAAGGGCGUGUAGGCGGGACUACAAGUCAGAUGUGAAAUACCGGGGCUUAACUCCGGGGCUGCAUUUGAAACUGUAGUUCUUGAGUGCCGGAGAGGAAAGCGGAAUUCCUAGUGUAGCGGUGAAAUGCGUAGAUAUUAGGAGGAACACCAGUGGCGAAGGCGGCUUUCUGGACGGUAACUGACGCUGAGGCGCGAAAGUGUGGGGAGCAAACAGGAUUAGAUACCCUGGUAGU
rnacentral:rRNA from 1 species